GAAAAGGUGUCUUUGACACCUUUGGUAGAAAUUGUGUUAAAAUACAAACGUUUUCUAGGUUUUCAGCGUUGAAAUUUCUUAAGAUAUUCGUGAAAUUAGUAGAACGCGUAGCUUGGUAGGCUGCCCUAAACCCGCUUCAAAACUGUGGACUAUUUAAAGAAGCUAUGAGAUUUAAAAGAUAGCCCCUUUUUUCUGAGUGCAGCAACUGCAACUUGUCGUCCUGUCGUGCGGGCCUGAGCUAGCGCUCUGUGCAAGCUCUAUUCAAUUAGAUGUAAUGCACGUUCCGAGCCAUAACUAAAAUCGCAGAAAUCAGCAAAAAAAAAAGAAGAAAUGAGCAAGAGUGCGCGGUGUAACCGACUAGGAGAUGCCGUACAGCUCACCACAAGCAUGUUCACGAUCUAUACGGAGGCUGUAAAUGUGGCAACAAUGUUUGCUUAGAACUAUUGCCUCAAAAAUAUACCUCCAAAAAUGUAGGGGUUAAUCUUCUUUCCUUUUUUUAUUAGCUAAUUUAUUGAUACUACUCUGGAGCAUCUAGAGCAUCAUUAAAUAUUACUUAUUAAUCUUUAUAAUUAUUCAA